AGAGUUUGAUCAUGGCUCAGGGUGAACGCUGGAAAUGUGGAUACCGGCAUGCAAGUCAAGGGGCCGCAAGGCACCGGCGAACGGCUUAGUAACACGUAGAUACAUACCGCAAAAGUGGGGCACAGCUCGUCGAAAGACGGGGUAAUUUCCCAUAGUCCCGCAAGGGUAAAGGCGCAAGCCGCUUUGUGAAUGGUCUGCGGUCUAUCAGCUAGUUGGCGGGGUAAAAGCCCACCAAGGCUAUGACGGAUAGGGGGCGUGAGAGCGCGACCCCCAAGAAUGGCACUGCGACACGGGCCAUACUCCUACGGGAGGCUGCAGUCGAGAAUCUUCCGCAAUGGGCGAAAGCCUGACGGAGCGACAUUUCGUGAUGGAUGAAGCCCUUCGGGGUGUAAACAUCUUUUAAUUGGGAAUAAAUUAUUGAAGGUACCAGUUGAAUAAGGGGAUCCUAAUUCUGUGCCAGCAGGAGCGGUAAUACAGAAUCCCCGAGCGUUACCCGGAUUUAUUGGGCGUAAAGAGUCUGUAGGUGGUUUGGUAAGUUCAAGAUUAAACCUCAUCGGCUUAACCUUUGAGCUGUUUUGAAUACUGCCAUACUAAGAGGGCGUUAGAGGCAAACGGAACCGAUGGAGUAGGGGUGAAAUCCGUUGAUAUCAUCGGGAACACCAAAAGCGAAGGCAGUUUGCUGGGGCGACCCUGACACUGAGAGACGAAAGCGUGGGGGAGCAAAAAGGAUUAGAUACCCUAGUAGUCC
rnacentral:rRNA from 1 species